GCGAGCUGCAGCUGCUCUGCAAGUGCUUUGGCUUCAAGCGCGGCUGCGGGGACGAGGUGGACUACCGCGCGCUGUGCACCGCGCUGGAGCUGGUGCACGCCACCACGCGCGCGCAGCCUUGCUAGCGACAGCGACACUCUCUCUGCCAUACGUUAUGUCCAUUGUUCAUGUGAUUAAAUUAUUAAACCAAUGUAAA